GUAGUAGUCUUGGUGGUGCAAGUGUUUUGUGUUUUAGGAGAAGAGAUCUAAAUCUCACAGCUCUAAGUCGACAUGUUCAAAUUCCUGCCCCUGUGUCUCCUGAUGGCCAGUACACUGGCCCAGGAUCUGCCGGAUCACUACUCAUUCUCGGUGCCCGUGGGCAGUGGCACAGGCACCGGCUUCGUCACCUCUGGAGAGGGACGCAUCACCGCACUCAGAGUCUGGGAGGUCAACAACAACCAGCUCG